rnacentral:rRNA from 1 species
GGCCUCAACUCAGACAAGAGUACCCGCUGAACUUAAGCAUAUCAAUAAGCGGAGGAAAAGAAACUAACAAGGAUUCCCCUAGUAACGGUGAGUGAAGCGGGAACAGCUCAAAUUUUAAAUCUGGCUGCUUUGUAGUCCGAGUUGUAAUUUGAAGGAGUCUUGCCGCUGGCAAAACGAUGGCACAAGUCCUCUGGAACGGGGCAUCGUAGAGGGUGAGAAUCCCGUCUCUGGUCAUCACGCGCUGGCAUACGGCAGGCAUCCGAAGAGUCGAGUUGUUUGGGAUUGCAGCUCCAAAUGGGUGGUAAACUCCAUCUAAGGCUAAAUAUUGGCGAGAGACCGAUAGCGAACAAGUACCGUGAGGGAAAGAUGAAAAGAACUUUGAAAAGAGAGUAAAACAGUACGUGAACUUGUUGAAAGGGAAACGAUUGAAG